rnacentral:rRNA from 1 species
GACGGAGGAUGCAAGUGUUAUCCGGAAUCACUGGGCGUAAAGCGUCUGUAGGUGGUUUAAAAAGUCCACUGUUAAAAAUUGAAGCUUAACUUCAAAGAUGCCGUGGAAACUUUUAAACUUGAGUAUGGUAGGGGUAGAGGGAAUUUCCAGUGGAGCGGUGAAAUGCGUAGAUAUUGGAAAGACCACCAAUGGCGAAGGCGACUCUUUGGCCUGUAACUGACGCUGAGGCGCGAAAGCGUGGGGAGCAAACAGG